GACGAACGCUGGCGGCGUGCUUAACACAUGCAAGUCGAGCGGAAAGGCCCUUCGGGGUCCUCGAGCGGCGAACGGGUGAGUAGCACGUGAGUAACCUGCCCCAGACUUUGGGAUAACCCUCGGAAACGGGGGCUAAUACCGGAUACGACACAGCUUCGCAUGGGGUCUGUGUGGAAAGUUUUUCGGUUUGGGAUGGGCUCGCGGCCUAUCAGCUUGUUGGUGGGGUGAUGGCCUACCAAGGCGACGACGGGUAGCCGGCCUGAGAGGGCGACCGGCCACACUGGGACUGAGACACGGCCCAGACUCCUACGGGAGGCAGCAGUGGGGAAUAUUGCACAAUGGGCGGAAGCCUGAUGCAGCGACGCCGCGUGAGGGAUGACGGCCUUCGGGUUGUAAACCUCUUUCAGCAGGGACGAAGCGUAAGUGACGGUACCUGCAGAAGAAGCGCCGGCCAACUACGUG
rnacentral:rRNA from 1 species